rnacentral:rRNA from 1 species
UACAGAGGAGCCAAGCGUUGUCCGGAUUGACUGGGCGUAAAGCGCACGCAGGCGGUUCUGUGCGUGGGGUGUGAAAUCUGGCCGCUUAACGGCCAGGCGCCAUCCCAUACGGCAGGACUGGAGUGAUGCAGAGGUCGAUGGAAUUGCCGGUGUAGUGGUGAAAUGCGUAGAGAUCGGCAGGAACACCCAGGGGGAAACCAGUCGACUGGGCAUCUACUGACGCUGAGGUGCGAGAGCGUGGGGAGCGAACCGG